AUUGAACGCUGGCGGCAGGCCUAACACAUGCAAGUCGAACGAGUGGCGGACGGGUGAGUAAUGUCUUGGAAACUGCCCGAUCGAGGGGGCUAACUACUGUAAACGGUAGCUAAUACCGCUUACCAUCGGAUGUGCCCAGAGUGGAUUAGCUAGCAGGGGGGGUAACGGCUCACCUAGGCGACGAUGCCUAGCUGGUCUGAGAGGAUGACCAGCCACACUGGGACUGAGACACGGUCCAGACUCCUACGGGAGGCAGCAGUGGGGAAUAUUGCGCAAUGGGCGAAAGCCUGAUGCAGCCAUGCCGCGUGUAUGAAGAAGGCCUUCGGGUUGUAAAGUACUUUCAGCGGAGAGGCGGUACCCGAAGAGGAAGCAACGGCUAACUACGUGCCAGCAGCCGCGGUAAUAC
rnacentral:rRNA from 1 species